AUUGAACGCUGGCGGCAUGCCUUACACAUGCAAGUCGAACGGCAGCACGGGGGCGAACCCUCGGUGGCGAGUGGCGAACGGGUGAGUAAUACAUCGGAACGUACCCAGUUGUGGGGAGUAACCAGUCGAAAGACGGGCUAAUACCGCAUGAUCUGGUGACAGCAAAGCGGGGGAUCGCAAGACCUCGCGCGAUUGGAGCGGCCGAUGUCCGAUUAGCUA
rnacentral:rRNA from 1 species